UACGAAGGGAGCUAGCGUUGUUCGGAAUUACUGGGCGUAAAGCGCACGUAGGCGGAUACUUAAGUUAGGGGUGAAAUCCCGGGGCUCAACCCCGGAACUGCCUUUAAUACUGGGUAUCUCGAGUUCGAGAGAGGUGAGUGGAAUUCCGAGUGUAGAGGUGAAAUUCGUAGAUAUUCGGAGGAACACCAGUGGCGAAGGCGGCUCACUGGCUCGAUACUGACGCUGAGGUGCGAAAGCGUGGGGAGCAAACAGG
rnacentral:rRNA from 1 species